GAUCAUGGCUCAGGAUGAACGCUAGUUACAGGCUUAACACAUGCAAGUCGAGGGGCAGCAUGGUCUUAGCUUGCUAAGGCCGAUGGCGACCGGCGCACGGGUGAGUAACACGUAUCCAACCUGCCGUCUACUCUUGGACAGCCUUCUGAAAGGAAGAUUAAUACAAGAUGGCAUCAUGAGUCCGCAUGUUCACAUGAUUAAAGGUAUUUCGGUAGACGAUGGGGA
rnacentral:rRNA from 1 species